rnacentral:rRNA from 1 species
AGCUCCAAUAGCGUAUAUUAAAGUUGCUGCAGUUAAAAAGCUCGUAGUUGCAUUUCCGAGGCAAGGGAUUAGUCCGACCUUUGGUGGGUAUUUAAUCCUCUUGCCUCGUCCUUGAGUGGUGCUUCUUGGUAUUAAGUUAUCGAGGAGAUAGCCGCUCAUCGUUUACUGUGAGAAAAUUAGAGUGUUCAAAGCAGGCUUAUGCCGUUGAAUAUAUUAGCAUGGAAUAAUAAGAUAGGACCUCGGUACUAUUUGGUUGGUUUGAGAACCAAGGUAAUGAUGAAUAGGGACAGUUGGGGGUAUUCGUAUUCAGUUGUCAGAGGUGAAAUUCUUAGAUUUACGGAAGACGAACUACUGCGAAAGCAUUUACCAAGGAUGUUGUCA